UAGUAUGUAAUCUCAUUCAACCUUGCCCACCUGGAAUCCUUCAUCCACCCUAUGGGAUUUCACCAGAAGGGCUGCUUACCAGAGGCCACUUCCCCAGCCUGGUCAAGCAAACACUCCUACAGAGACGCAAAACUUAUUUUCCGGACGUGACCGCUGAGAGACUUAGUUCCUUGGAACUCAGGGACGUACUACAUAGGUAUGUACUACAUAGCAUCUGAAUCACCUGGAGAGGGUGGUAAACUACAGCUGGGCGGGACCCAGCGCCGGAGUUUUUGAUUCUGGGACGGGACCAAUGACUUGCACUUCGAAAUUCUCAGAUGCCGCCGCUGCCGCCGCUGCUGCUCCGGGGGACCACACUGGAAGCACCACUGUUCUAAAAACUGAAAAGGAGACACAACACAAUUCCUCAUUGCUGUGACCUGGGUGGAAGAGAGACUGGAUGGAGGCUGCUCGAAGUGGGCACCUGAGGAAAUCACAGUGGCUCAAGAAAUCGAAAAAAAAGACAAGUGAUUGGAAGAACACUGGAAUCCUCAGGUUCUUUUGAUAACCGCUUAUGUGACCUUGGCCAAGUGACUCUCCCUCAAUGGAGCUCCAGGUUCCUCCUCUGUAAAUGAAUGAACACUUCUGUAAAAGAAACUGAACAACGCAGAAAGGACUACAGUAGAACGUGAAAGCCCUCUGGACUGGAGGCGAGGGAGAGGGAGGGGAGCGAGGCGGGGAGAGCAUCCUGGGCUCUGUGUCGGGGUGGGCCGGGGAAGCCGGGGAACCGCGGCUGCAUUAGAGCAGCUGAGUCCACAGGCUUAUCAAAAUGUCCCCACAGAUAAACUGGCCACAUCUGACUGUCUUGCUUUGCUGUUUAUAUCUUUUGCCUGUUUUUCUAGGAAAAUACCUUUAAGUGUUUGUAUUUUUUAAGUUACGAAGCUCGUUGUGUAUUAAAGAGCCUUUUGCCUGUCAAAUUUGUUACAUUCCCCCCCUCAAUUGUUGCUUGUCUUCUAACUUUUGGGUGUUUUCUGCCAUUCAGAAAUGAUUUUUAUUGUGUGGUCAGUUCUCAUAAUCCUUUGCUUUCAUUGUCUCUGCCUCUGAUAGCAUGCUUAGGUCUUCUUCACCCCGGGAUUAUCAAAGUGUUCCCUUGCAUUUUCUUCUAGUACUGUCAUGGCUUGAUUUUAUUUUUCAUGUUUAAAUUUUCAGGGGACCUGGAAUUGACUUGGUAAAAAGUCAUGUCUCAGUGCUUAUGGUGAGCCGGGCCCUGUUCAAAGCGCCUCACUCGGAUCAUCCCAUUUGAAUGUUCAGUAGCUCAUGAGGUGGGUGCUAGAAGGAUUCUUGUUUUCACAGGGAGGGUGGAACUUAGGAACAGAGAGGGUGGGUACUUAUCCAAGACCACACAGCUGAUGAAACCUGGCCCAUCUGAUGGUAAAGCCUACAUAGGGUUGUUGUAAGGAAUAGAUAAGGCUUGUGAAAAGUUUCUGGAAUACAGUAGUCAACAGAAGGUAGAGUUUAUUAUUCCAUCGUUCUCAGAAACAAUUUCUGAUGCCUGCAUAUUAUUUGAAAAAUAGUAUCUUUUAAAUUAAAUAUAUUUCUAAAAUGCUAUUCCUUCACAAGUUAUAAAAGCCUUUGGAAUUCCAUGGAACAAAUGAUACCUUUUUUUUUUAAGAAAUAGUUGUCAUUAAAAGAAAUUUCAAAGGAGAUACACCAACAUGUGAAGAGUUUUACUGGGUAAUGGAAUUACAGGUUUGGUUUUGUAAAAAUCUUUGUAUAUUUUUCUACAGUUUUCUAGAAAGGGUAUGUUUGGAUUUUUCUGAUCAGAAAAAAUAGCCCCGAUAACUGGUAUAUUUUUAGAAGUCUAUGAAUAGGAGGAGGUCAGGCAGUAUCUAGAUUUUUUUUUUGAUACCCUGGGAAAAGUCUGAAGCUGACAGGAAGAAUAAAGGCAGGGAGAGGUUGGCUUUCGAGGAUCAGCAAGGUGGAGCGAGGGAGGGAGGGAGGUGUAUGACGAGGCAAGAGGUAAGGCAAGGUUUAUGCAGCAUACAUACAAUUAUAUAAUAGCAAGAAAGUAUGAAAAGAAAUACAUAGAAAUGUUACCAGUGGUACUGGAUAGUGGAGAUGAUAUUUUAUUAUACUUUAUUUACAUUUUUUACAUUUUAUUUUUAUUCUUAUCUUCUUGUGUAUGAUUUAAAAAUUUUCUUUUAUAUUUUCUUUUCCCUUCAUAAAGAUGAAUACUUUUUAAAUCAGGGGGAAAUGUUAUUUAGUGUGAAAACAAAGGUAGAAAAUCUGUUUUCUGAUGUAGGAGAAGUUAGAGACAGCCAGGGGCGCUGAUUCCAGCACAAGGGCCACCACCCAGGAGCAGGUGACAAGGACAGGCACAUCACAGAACUUCCUGGGCUCCCCAUGCUCUAGUUUUCUGUCUUUCUGGUGGCCUGUUGCUGCUACUUUCUCUGCCAUGCUCUUGGUCCAUUUUCUCCUCGCUAUCUUUCUUGAUUGACCAUAAGUAGAGAAGUGCAUUACCAUCACUUCUAAGAUGAACACUUCCCCGCAUUUUGACAGCUUGGAUAUCGGGAUACCCUUACAGUCAAUGGCAUGUUGAGGAGAUGUUGAAUAAAUUAAGAUCUUUGUCAAUUUUCACAAAGGGAAAAUGGAUCACUUUACAGAAAAGAAACCCAGCAGACACCAUCUUAAGUGAUUAAGGGUAACAUAGGCGCUAAGAUACAUCAGCACCAAGUACCCUCAAAGAUGGUGCACAUCAUUUCUAUGGUCUUCUUGCCAAAAACCCAUGACCUCAAUCAAAUCAUGAGAAUGCAUUCAACAAACCGAAAUUGCGAGGCAUUCUACAAAAUAACUGACCAGUGCUCAUCCAAAGUGUCAAGGUCAUGAAAGAUAAGGAAAGACUGAGUAAAUGUCACAGAUUAGAGGAGACUAAAGAAACAUGAUAAGUAAAUACAAUGUGGGAUUCCGGAUUGGAUCCUGGAGCAGAGAAAGGACAUUAGGGGGGAAACUGGAGAACUUCAAAUAAAGUCUCUAGUUUACUUGAUUGUAUUGAACUAGAGUUAAUUUUCUGGUCUUGAUAACUGUGCUAUGUAUGGUAUGUAAGUUGUUGACAUUACAGGAAGCUGGAUGAAGGGUAUGCAAGAACCUCUUGUAACAUUUUUGCAACUAUUCUGUAAGCCUAAAAUUAUUUCAAAAUAAAUUUAAAAAGUGAGGUUGAGCUAUCAA